GAUGAACACUGGCGGCGUGCCUAAUACAUGCAAGUCGAGCGAACGGACGAGAAGCUUGCUUCUCUGAUGUUAGCGGCGGACGGGUGAGUAACACGUGGAUAACCUACCUAUAAGACUGGGAUAACUUCGGGAAACCGGAGCUAAUACCGGAUAAUAUUUUGAACCGCAUGGUUCAAAAGUGAAAGACGGUCUUGCUGUCACUUAUAGAUGGAUCCGCGCUGCAUUAGCUAGUUGGUAAGGUAACGGCUUACCAAGGCAACGAUGCAUAGCCGACCUGAGAGGGUGAUCGGCCACACUGGAACUGAGACACGGUCCAGACUCCUACGGGAGGCAGCAGUAGGGAAUCUUCCGCAAUGGGCGAAAGCCUGACGGAGCAACGCCGCGUGAGUGAUGAAGGUCUUCGGAUCGUAAAACUCUGUUAUUAGGGAAGAACAUAUGUGUAAGUAACUGUGCACAUCUUGACGGUACCUAAUCAGAAAGCCACGGCUAACUACGUGCCAGCAGCCGCGGUAAUACGUAGGUGGCAAGCGUUAUCCGGAAUUAUUGGGCGUAAAGCGCGCGUAGGCGGUUUUUUAAGUCUGAUGCGAAAGCCCACGGCUCAACCGUGGAGGGUCAUUGGAAACUGGAAGACUUGAGUGCAGAAGAGGAAAGUGGAAUUCCAUGUGUAGCGGUGAAAUGCGCAGAGAUAUGGAGGAACACCAGUGGCGAAGGCGACUUUCUGGUCUGUAACUGACGCUGAUGUGCGAAAGCGUGGGGAUCAAACAGGAUUAGAUACCCUGGUAGUCCACGCCGUAAACGAUGAGUGCUAAGUGUUAGGGGGUUUCCGCCCCUUAGUGCUGCAGCUAACGCAUUAAGCACUCCGCCUGGGGAGUACGACCGCAAGGUUGAAACUCAAAGGAAUUGACGGGGACCCGCACAAGCGGUGGAGCAUGUGGUUUAAUUCGAAGCAACGCGAAGAACCUUACCAAAUCUUGACAUCCUUUGACAACUCUAGAGAUAGAGCCUUCCCCUUCGGGGGACAAAGUGACAGGUGGUGCAUGGUUGUCGUCAGCUCGUGUCGUGAGAUGUUGGGUUAAGUCCCGCAACGAGCGCAACCCUUAAGCUUAGUUGCCAUCAUUAAGUUGGGCACUCUAAGUUGACUGCCGGUGACAAACCGGAGGAAGGUGGGGAUGACGUCAAAUCAUCAUGCCCCUUAUGAUUUGGGCUACACACGUGCUACAAUGGACAAUACAAAGGGUAGCGAAACCGCGAGGUCAAGCAAAUCCCAUAAAGUUGUUCUCAGUUCGGAUUGUAGUCUGCAACUCGACUACAUGAAGCUGGAAUCGCUAGUAAUCGUAGAUCAGCAUGCUACGGUGAAUACGUUCCCGGGUCU
rnacentral:rRNA from 1 species